rnacentral:rRNA from 1 species
CCUACGGGAGGCAGCAGUGGGGGAUAUUGCACAAUGGGGGAAACCCUGAUGCAGCGACGCCGCGUGGGUGAAGAAGUAUUUCGGUAUGUAAAGCCCUAUCAGCAGGGAAGAAAGAAGACGGUACCUGACUAAGAAGCCCCGGCUAACUACGUGCCAGCAGCCGCGGUAAUACGUAGGGGGCGAGCGUUAUCCGGAUUCACUGGGUGUAAAGGGAGCGUAGACGGCCGUGCAAGCCAGGAGUGAAAGCCCGGGGCCCAACCCCGGGACUGCUCUUGGAACUGUGCGGCUGGAGUGCGGGAGGGGCAGGCGGAAUUCCUGGUGUAGCGGUGAAAUGCGUAGAUAUCAGGAGGAACACCGGCGGCGAAGGCGGCCUGCUGGACCGCGACUGACGCUGAGGUGCGAAAGCGUGGGUAGCAAACAGGAUUAGAUACCCCUGUAGUC